rnacentral:rRNA from 1 species
UUUGGUUAAGUUAGAAAGGGCGCACGGUGGAUGCCUUGACACUAGGAGUCGAUGAAGGACGGGACUAACGCCGAUAUGCUUCGGGGAGCUGUAAGUAAGCUUUGAUCCGAAGAUUUCCGAAUGGGGAAACCCACCAUACGUAAUGGUAUGGUAUCCUUAUCUGAAUACAUAGGGUAAGGAAGACAGACCCAGGGAACUGAAACAUCUAAGUACCUGGAGGAAGAGAAAGCAAAUGCGAUUUCCUGAGUAGCGGCGAGCGAAACGGAACAUAGCCCAAACCAAGAGGCUUGCCUCUUGGGGUUGUAGGACAUUCUAUACGGAGUUACAAAGGAACGAGGUAGACGAAGCGACCUGGAAAGGUCCGUCGUAGAGGGUAACAACCCCGUAGUCGAAACUUCGUUCUCUCUUGAAUGUAUCCUGAGUACGGCGGAACACGUGAAAUUCCGUCGGAAUCUGGGAGGACCAUCUCCCAAGGCUAAAUACUCCCUAGUGAUCGAUAGUGAACCAGUACCGUGAGGGA